AAAAAGCCAAAGGAGGAACCAAUCGCAAAAACAACAGCAGAAACUGUGAAGAAGCCACACAGCUCAGAUGAGGGGGCACAGUAUCAAAUCAUGUGCCAAUGGUCAUGAAAAUGCGGAAAUCCUUAUCCCCUUAGGAAACCCUAAGGGGAUAUUUCUAGGAAAUACGCCUCUUCACCCACCCCCCUAGGAAUAUUGUGGAAUAAUUGAGGGUGUGUGAAGACGACACGCUGUACAUUAUAGGACGCAGUAGGCAGCAAUGAUAACAGACGUGGAGGACACCUACCUGAGUCAUGGAAGAUGACGUCGUGGACUUUGACUUGAGACUCGGGAAAUUUCCAACUGUUCUGAUCCAUCUAGGCCAGGCCAAUGUGUUUUUCUCUCACAUUUCCUGCUUUGACAAGUGGAUGACAGGGUGACUGAAAACACAUCGUUCCUUUACAAGCAACAUGGCCACCAAUGCAGGGCGACCCCUCAACAGCAUCCUGGAUCAGCGAAGCCCAUAGUGAAGGAAUCUUUCUAGAGAAUUCUAUAUAUGCACCUGUAUCAUGCUUAUUGUGGCUUCCACUGCAUGGUUCUGACAGGCAGACAUCUGGAAAUAAAUUAUCAUGAUAAGGAUUGUUAUUUUUAUUUUUUUUUUAUUUUUUUUUAACGUUUAUUUAUUUUUGAGACAGAGACAGAGCAUGAAUGGGGGAGGGGCAGAGAGAGAGGGAGAAACAGAAUGGGAAGCAGGCUCCAGGCUCUGAGCCAUCAGCCCAGAGCCCGACAAGGGGCUCGAACUCACGGACCGUGAGAUCGUGACCUGAGCCGAAGUCGGACGCUUAACCGACUGAGCCACCCAGGCGCC